rnacentral:rRNA from 1 species
GAUGAACGCUAGCGGCAGGCUUAAUACAUGCAAGUCGUGGGGCAGCAUGGUGGUAGCAAUACCACUGAUGGCGACCGGCAAACGGGUGCGGAACACGUACGCAAUCUACCCAGAACUGGCGAAUAGCCCUCCGAAAGGAGGAUUAAUACGCCGUAACAUUAUAAAGUGGCAUCACUUAAUAAUUAAAGCUCCGGCGGUUUUGGAUGAGCGUGCGCCCCAUUAGGUAGUUGGUUGAGGUAAUGGCUCACCAAGCCUGCGAUGGGUAACUGGUGUGAGAGCACGACCAGUCACACGGGCACUGAGACACGGGCCCGACUCCUACGGGAGGCAGCAGUAAGGAAUAUUGGUCAAUGGACGCAAGUCUGAACCAGCCAUGCCGCGUGGAGGAUGAAGGCCCUCUGGGUUGUAAACUUCUUUUAUGGGGGACGAAAUCACUUAUUCUUAAGUGUCUGACGGUACCCCAGGAAUAAGCACCGGCUAACUCCGUGCCAGCCGCCGCCGUAAAAC